rnacentral:rRNA from 1 species
UAGCUUUAAGAAAUUAUUUAAAGUGUUACCUGCCCGGUGGGAUACUUAACGGCCGCAGUACUUUGACUGUGCUAAGGUAGCAUAAUAAAUUGGCUUUUAAUUAAAGUCGGGUAUGAAAGGGACUUUGGAAGAUAACUGUCUCAAUUAUAUAUUAUUUUAAUUUAAUAAAUGAGUGAAAAUUCUCAUAUUUACUACAUUAGACGAGAAGACCCUAAGAGUUAUAAUUAAAAUGAAGUUUAUUUCAUAUAUCAUUUUUGUUGGGGCAACAAAGACUGGAUAGAACCGUCAUAAAUUAAUUUUUACAUAACCAAUAUAUUUAAAAAGAAAUAAACUACCUUAGGGAUA